rnacentral:lncRNA from 1 species
GGGAUGCAAGGAGCACUGAGCUGGGAGCCAGAUCUCCUGGCUUCUAGCCCUGCUUGGAAACUAAUGACCAUGUGACCUUAGACUAGUCAUGUCUUAUUUCUGAGACUCAGGUUUCUCAACUAUAAAUAGAGGAUUACAUGAAUUUCCUCUUAAGUCUCCUUUGGAGUCCAGGGCUCUGUGAGUCUGGGAAGUUGAGCCUCAGUGGGGCAUAGGGUUGUGGAACCAGAGGGUCGCAGGUUUCCUCUGCCCUCAUAGAUGCACUCUGUGCAGACAACAGACAUACCAGGAGGGUAGAUGGAAGUGGUAUGGUGGCUCUGAGAAGUGAGAGGGGGAGUGAGAGGGAAAGGCAAGUCAUCCAGAGCUUCUGCUAGAAUCUUCCCCUAGCCAGGGCCCAGGACUCCUUGCAGUUCUGCCUCUCUUCCCUUCUACAGCCAGGCCCAAGGGGAGUAAGUCAGUUGGCCUAGACUCUGACUCCAGGUCCUGUCUAGGCCAUCACAGGUGCCACUCUUACGUACGUUCUCACUUUCUCUCUGUCACAUACACACAGCAUCACCACCACCACCACCACAACCACCUGCAGAUAGAUGCUUAAGUGAUUCUAGAAGAGAUCUCAAGGACUGGCGUUCUGCUCGUUAUGUAACCUAUGGGCUUCCCUUUGCACAGCUCCUCAUGUGCCCAUCUCCAUGCUGAUCAAACCACCCCACCUCAUUCCUUGCCUUCUGCAAGGGGAAGUACCUCAGGCUGGAGUUUGUCCUGUCUACAGACUGAAUAUGCAUUUUGCCCAGUGGCUGGGGAUGUGCUGGUGGUGGAAUGUGCUGGUGAUCGUUUCUGGAUGGAGAGCCACAACCCCCCAGUGUUCUGCCAUGACUGACUCCUGACCUUGGCAAAUUGCCUCCUCCCUCCCAGCCUCCUCCAUAACAGGUGGCGAUGAGUCCCAUUUCCUCCCUACCUCACAGGAAGGCACGCAUUAUAAAGGGCACACUUAUCAGAUGUGCCCAGAUGUGGCUGGAACUUUUGGAGACAGAUACUUGGUUCACAACUGCAAAGGUGGGCUUUCGCCAGAGAAAAUCUCUGGGCUGCUGAGUUCAGUGGGCUCCUUGCAGGCUGGUCUAGGAAGUCUGGUGUUCCUCCUGAAGGUGGCUGCUAUGUCCAGCAGGUGAUCAAGCUGACAGUGCCACAAGAACCAAGAAACAGAAUCUGUUCCCAAGCAAUGAACGUUCUAUCUCUCUGACCCAAAAGCAAGAGCAAGAGAGAGCUAUCACCAUCAUCACCCUGCUCCCAACACAAACACAGCCCCCCAAGUCCAUAUUGCUGACGAGGGUGUCUGGCUUGUCAGGGUGAAUCCUCUGGACCCCCAGGCCAUCCCUGGAGUGGUCAGUGCCCACUGUGUCGGGGUUGUUGUGGCCAGUCUGCCUGGGUUCCCUUCUCGAAAUUUCCAUGGGAUAGGAACUAUAGAUCAUGAAGAAGAAACAGGAACCUUGACUCUUCACAGAGGAGCCCAGGAGGUCAGAACCAUCCACCAGGAGGGUGAGCGGUAGCUGCCCAGGGCAUCCCUGGAGGAAGUCGUCAUACUGAGGAAGAAAUUGCAAAAGCCAAGAGCUCCCAGACCUGGGCAGCUCAGGAGCUGGCAGAAACCCCCCCCCCCAAGUCUGGAGUUCAAGGGUUUUCCUCGUGGGCUGCUGGGCUGUCUCUUUCCCUUCUGGGGCAGCUGUCUCUCCUCCUUCAGCUCAUUCCAGUGUUCCAUCUGAGGGGCGGGAGGAAGGCAGGAGGGGGAGAUGGCAGGACCCAGACAGAUCCUCAGGACUCUCCCAGCCUCUGUUGCCAUGGCAACACUGCUAUUUUUAUCCCGUUGUUCAUGAUGCUCAAAGCUCUAACUUUCUCUGUUCCAGAGAGGCCAGGCUGGCUUCUGCCCUCAUCCUUUAACACAGCAUCUUCUCCCAGAGGCCUGAGGAUGCGAAAAAGUGAUGGAGAAAAGGGGAAUCCCUUAGGUCACCUCUCAAUCAGAGGGAACUGUUUAACAGGGGUUUGUCUCUGCCCUUUUGAGCCUUUGGUUUUCUACCUGGCUCAGGCACCCAGAUUUAUGUUUUCUAGAUCAAAACUCCGCAUGGUCUCCCUGAGAGACUGCUCCAGAGAAAAAAGAGCUGCCAAUCAGGAUGGAUUUUUUCCUACACAGGUAUGACACUGCAGCCACUUCCCUUCUUGGGAAAAUUAAACUUCAUUCUGAAGAAUGUCCUGUUGGUGGUAUAAGCCAACCCCUGCCCUCCUAAAAGGGGAUAGAUAAUUAAAUUUGGUUAAUUAGCAAUCAGAUUCACUGGGGAAUUGAAACCAGUACUUCCCUUUCUUCUGUCCCUCCACCAAAGAACCGGAACAAAUGGCUUCAUGUCUUUGUCCAGUCUUUCUGCCUAAAGCAAAAUAGCAUAUAUUCUCCAGGCUGAAAAGUAGAUUCCUCCCCACCCCUACUCAAGACGGCCACAUUUUAAUCCAGGCUCUUGAAGACAGGGUCUAAUGAAAGGAUUUCUGUUCUUUCUCUGUCUGUUCCCUCUGGCCCAGCUUCCAGUUCUCUCCUUAUGUCCCCACAUGGCAGUGGCAAGAGACCCCUGAGAGUCAAUGGUGCUAACGUUCCCCACCUAUAUACCCCUAAGUAGUUUAUCGAGAUUUGAACCCAGCACCUAGGUGGCUGUGUUGGGUGGAUACAUUUCACAUCCUCAAGACCAUGACCCUGGCGACAGGUCUGGAUUAAUUCUGUAAAGUAGCAAUCUAUAUCAUGCUAAAUUCCUGCACUGAGGUUCUACCUCGUCUGAACUGACUCGUGGAUGGUUAAGUUUCCUGGGGUGGCUGGAACCCAUUUACUAAGCCUCUAAUUGGUUUCCUUUUGGCUCAAGUUGCAUGGUUUCCCGAAUCUAUGCACCUGGAGUAAGCACUUUUCUGGUUGCCACUGAAAAGCAUGCCGGCAAACGCUGCUCUGUUAAUUGCUGUAAUAAACAGACUUUAUUAUA